UACGGCGGACGGGUGAGGUAACACGUGGAUAACCUACCUAUAAGACUGGGAUAACUUCGGGAAACCGGAGCUAAUACCGGAUAAUAUAUUGAACCGCAUGGUUCAAUAGUGAAAGACGGUUUUGCUGUCACUUAUAGAUGGAUCCGCGCCGCAUUAGCUAGUUGGUAAGGUAACGGCUUACCAAGGCAACGAUGCGUAGCCGACCUGAGAGGGUGAUCGGCCACACUGGAACUGAGACACGGUCCAGACUCCUACGGGAGGCAGCAGGG
rnacentral:rRNA from 1 species